GGCUCAGGAUGAACGCUGGCGGCGUGCUUAACACAUGCAAGUCGAACGGGGUACCCAUGACAGAGGCUUCGGCCAAUAGAUUGGAAUACCUAGUGGCGGACGGGUGAGUAACGCGUGAGGAACCGGCCUUGGAGUGGGGAAUAACAGCUGGAAACAGCUGCUAAUACCGCAUAAUGCAGUUGGGUCGCAUGGCUCUGACUGCCAAAGAUUUAUCGCUCUGAGAUGGCCUCGCGUCUGAUUAGCUAGUUGGUGAGGUAACGGCUCACCAAGGCGACGAUCAGUAGCCGGUCUGAGAGGAUGAACGGCCACAUUGGGACUGAGAUACGGCCCAGACUCCUACGGGAGGCAGCAGUGGGGAAUAUUGGGCAAUGGGGGAAACCCUGACCCAGCAACGCCGCGUGAAGGAGGAAGGCUUUCGGGUUGUAAACUUCUUUUACCAGGGACGAAGGACGUGACGGUACCUGGAGAAAAAGCAACGGCUAACUACGUGCCAGCAGCCGCGGUAAUACGUAGGUUGCAAGCGUUGUCCGGAUUUACUGGGUGUAAAGGGCGUGUAGGCGGAGAAGCAAGUUGGGAGUGAAAUCCAUGGGCUCAACCCAUGAACUGCUCUCAAAACUGUUUCCCUUGAGUAUCGGAGAGGCAAGCGGAAUUCCUGUGUAGCGGUGAAAUGCGUAGAUAUUAGGAGGAACACCAGUGGCGAAGGCGGCUUGCUGGACGACAACUGACGCUGAGGCGCGAAAGCGUGGGGAGCAAACAGGAUUAGAUACCCUGGUAGUCCACGCUGUAAACGAUGAAUACUAGGUGUGGGAGGACUGACCCCUUCCGUGCCGCAGUUAACACAAUAAGUAUUCCACCUGGGGAGUACGACCGCAAGGUUGCAACUCAAAUGAAUUGACGGA
rnacentral:rRNA from 1 species